ensembl:lncRNA
GAAGAAAUUCCUUCUUUCCAAGGCUUGAUGGUGUUGGGAGUCCUGGCUGUAGUGAUAACAGCUUGUUAACCAGUACCUUGAAAUUCUGCAAGGCGAGUUUGCAUAGCAUAUCCUUGAAAUUACACUUGGAAGCUAUUACUUGGACAGUUACUUUAGAGGCAUUCUUGGAGGUCAUUACAGUUUUUGUCAAGAACAGUUUAAUUCUCUGCCAUUUUCCACUUUUGUUAUUAUUGUGGACCAUCGUGGGAGCAGGUUAAUUUGGUCCAAUUUCCUCAUCAUGUUCUGUCCCUCAUCUCAUGAAUGCAAACACGUGAAGGCUGGACUCUGCCGAAGAUUAAACUUGUGGUGACAAGUAAUUCUUGUGACAGAGGCUUUAAUGAGAAGAGAAAAAGACCUUAAAAUAUCUUCUUACACUUAAUAAGGAUAAUCUAAAAAGUUGUAUGGAACUCGUUGGAGGACAGCUCUGACUGGUCUGCUGGUCACACUGAGCCAGCCACACUGGGCUGGCCUUGGCCAUGGAGGUGCAGGAAGGUGACUCCAUGGGCAGGCAAUAUCAGAGCCCCUCUCUUUGAAAAGCACAGAAAGCUUCUCAGCAUUGAUCUAGGAGAAAGCCAGCUGGUGGCCCUGCUGUCUGGAGGCAGUGCUGUGUGUGAGGGGCUGAGUCCUGCCAUCUUGCCAUGCAGAAGCCUUGCUCUGUCCUGUCCUCUUCCCCAGCUUUCUGCUAGAGACAAUAUGGACACAGCAUCACCACCUCAGGCCAAAGUCUGUGAGAAAGAUGUGAGAAAUAAGCACACACUGAACCUGCCUCAGA